rnacentral:rRNA from 1 species
AAUGAACGCUGGCGGCGUGCCUAACACAUGCAAGUCGAACGAGAAAUUUCCCGCUUGCGGGAGAAAGUAAAGUGGCGAACGGGUGAGUAACGCGUGGGUAACCUGCCCCUGAAUCUGGAAUAACUUCGCGAAAGCGAGGCUAAUACCGGAUAUUGUCCCAGGGACCGUGGUUCUUGUGAUGAAAGAUGACCUCUUCACGAAAGUUGUCGUUCAGAGAGGGGCCCGCGUACCAUUAGCUAGUUGGUAGGGUAAAGGCUUACCAAGGCGAAGACGGGUAGGGGGCCUGAGAGGGUGACCCCCCACACUGGCACUGAAACACGGGCCAGACACCUACGGGAGGCAG